AGCUUCAUGCGGUGAUAGUAUCGUAGCCAAUGAGGUUUAUCCAAGGAGCGAUUAUUGCUAAUUGAAAGCUUUUCCCUAUACCCGGCCAUGACCACUUGCAAUAUAGUUGGCAUUGGCAAUUUUUGACAGUCUCUAUGGAGA
ensembl:snRNA U4 U4 spliceosomal RNA